UAAGCGGAGGAAAAGAAACCAACAGGGAUUGCCCUAGUAACGGCGAGUGAAGCGGCAACAGCUCAAAUUUGAAAUCUGGCGCAAGCCCGAGUUGUAAUUUGUAGAGGAUGCUUCUAGGUAGCGACCGGUCUAAGUUCCUUGGAACAGGACGUCAUAGAGGGUGAGAAUCCCGUAUGUGACCGGCCCGCACCUUCUACGUAGCUCCUUCGACGAGUCGAGUUGUUUGGGAAUGCAGCUCUAAAUGGGAGGUAAAUUUCUUCUAAAGCUAAAUACCGGCCAGAGACCGAUAGCGCACAAGUAGAGUGAUCGAAAGAUGAAAAGCACUUUGGAAAGAGAGUUAAAAAGCACGUGAAAUUGUUGAAAGGGAAGCGCUUACAACCAGACUUCUGGGCGGUGUUCCGCCGGUCUUCUGACCGGUCUACUCGCCGUCCCGAGGCCAACAUCAUCUGGGACCGCCGGAUAAGACCUCAGGAAUGUAGCUCCCCUCGGGGAGUGUUAUAGCCUGUGGUGAUGCGGCGCGUCUCGGGUGAGGUCCGCGCUUCGGCAAGGAUGUUGGCGUAAUGGUUGUCAGCGGCCCGUCUUGAAACACGGACCAAGGAGUCUAACAUCUAUGCGAGUGUUCGGGUGUCAAACCCCUACGCGUAAUGAAAGUGAACGGAGGUGGGAAGGGUAACCUGCACCAUCGACCGAUCCUGAUGUCCUCGGAUGGAUUUGAGUAAGAGCAUAGCUGUUGGGACCCGAAAGAUGGUGAACUAUGCCUGAAUAGGGUGAAGCCAGAGGAAACUCUGGUGGAGGCUCGCAGCGGUUCUGACGUGCAAAUCGAUCGUCAAAUUUGGGUAUAGGGGCGAAAGACUAAUCGAACCAU
rnacentral:rRNA from 1 species